AUGAACGCUGGCGGCGUGCCUAAUACAUGCAAGUCGAGCGCACAGAUAAGGAGCUUGCUCCUUUGACGUUAGCGGCGGACGGGUGAGUAACACGUGGGUAACCUACCUAUAAGACUGGAAUAACUCCGGGAAACCGGGGCUAAUGCCGGAUAACAUUUAGAACCGCAUGGUUCUAAAGUGAAAGAUGGUUUUGCUAUCACUUAUAGAUGGACCCGCGCCGUAUUAGCUAGUUGGUAAGGUAACGGCUUACCAAGGCAACGAUACGUAGCCGACCUGAGAGGGUGAUCGGCCACACUGGAACUGAGACACGGUCCAGACUCCUACGGGAGGCAGCAGUAGGGAAUCUUCCGCAAUGGGCGAAAGCCUGACGGAGCAACGCCGCGUGAGUGAUGAAGGUCUUCGGAUCGUAAAACUCUGUUAUUAGGGAAGAACAAAUGUGUAAGUAACUGUGCACGUCUUGACGGUACCUAAUCAGAAAGCCACGGCUAACUACGUG
rnacentral:rRNA from 1 species